AAUAGAUACCCUGGUAGUCCUAGCCGUAAACGAUGGACACUAGGUGUUGGUGGUAUCAACCCCGCCAGUGCCGAAGCUAACGCAUUAAGUGUCCCGCCUGGGGAGUACGGCCGCAAGGCUAAAACUCAAAGGAAUUGACGGGGCCCCGCACAAGCAGCGGAGCGUGGGGUUUAAUUCGACGCAACGCGAAGAACCUUACCAGGGCUUGACAUGACCAGGAUCCCGGCGGAAACGUCGGUUCCCCGCAAGGGGCCUGGCCACAGGUGUUGCAUGGCUGUCGUCAGCUCGUGUCGUGAGAUGUUGGGUUAAGUCCCGCAACGAACGCAACCCCUACUGUGUGUUGUAUCACUCACACGGGACUGCCGAGAGAAACUCGGAGGAAGGCGGGGAUGACGUCAAGUCAGCAUGGCCCUUACGGUCCUGGGGCUACACCCACGCUACAAUGGCCGGUACAACGGGCGGCGAAACCGCGAGGUGGAGCGAAUCCCUUAAAGCCGGUCUCAGUUCGGAUUGCAGGCUGCAACUCGCCUGCAUGAAGCCGGGAGUUGCUAGUAACCC
rnacentral:rRNA from 1 species